rnacentral:rRNA from 1 species
UACCUCGUUGAAAUCUAGCAUAUCCAUAAGCGGAGGAAAAAGAAACCAACAAGGGAUUGCCCCAGUAACGGCGAGUGAAGCGGCAACAGCUCAAAUUUGAAAUCUGGCCCCUAGGGCCCGAGUUGUAAUUUGCAGAGGAUGCUUUUGGCGAGGUGCCUUCCGAGUUUCCCUGGAACGGGACGCCAUAGAGGGUGAGAGCCCCGUCUGGUUGGACGCCGAGCCUCUGUAAAGCUCCUUCGACGAGUCGAGUAGUUUGGGAAUGCUGCUCUAAAUGGGAGGUAUAUGUCUUCUAAAGCUAAAUAUUGGCCAGAGACCGAUAGCGCACAAGUAGAGUGAUCGAAAGAUGAAAAGCACUUUGAAAAGAGAGUUAAAUAGUACGUGAAAUUGUUGAAAGGGAAGCGCUUAUGACCAGACUUGGGCCCGGUGAAUCAUCCAGCGUUCUCGCUGGUGCACUUUGCCGGUGCCCAGGCCAGCAUCAGUUUGCCCCGGGGGAUAAAGGCUUUGGGAAUGUAGCUCCCUAGGGAGUGUUAUAGCCCAUUGCAUAAUACCCUGUGGCGGACUGAGGUUCGCGCAUCUUGCAAGGAUGCUGGCGUAAUGGUCAUCAGCGACCCGUCUUGAAACACGGACCAAGGAGUCGUCUUCGUAUGCGAGUGUUCGGGUGUUAAACCCCUACGCGUAAUGAAAGUGAACGCAGGUGAGAGCUUCGGCGCAUCAUCGACCGAUCCUGAUGUUCUCGGAUGGAUUUGAGUAAGAGCAUACGGGGCCGGACCCGAAAGAAGGUGAACUAUGCCUGUAUAGGGUGAAGCCAGAGGAAACUCUGGUGGAGGCUCGCAGCGGUUCUGACGUGCAAAUCGAUCGUCAAAUAUGGGCAUGGGGGCGAAAGACUAAUCGAACCUUCUAGUAGCUGGUUUCCGCCGAAGUUUCCCUCAGGAUAGCAGUGUUGAUCUCAGUUUUAUGAGGUAAAGCGAAUGAUUAGGGACCCGGGGGCGCUAUAUUGCCUUCAUCCAUUCUCAAACUUUAAAUAUGUAAGAAGCCCCUUGUUACUUAACUGAACGUGGGCAUUCGAAAUGUUCAUCAACACUAGUUGGGCCCAUUUUUGGUAGCACAGAAACUGGGCGAAAG